ACAGCUUCUCCCGUUCACAGCAGCCGGGAUUGGCCCGUUGACCUCAGUACAGCUUCUCCCGUUCAAUGGACCGGGUCCCGGCUGCUGUGAACGGGAGAAGCUGUACUGAGGUCAAUGGGCCAGGUCCCGGCUGCUGUGAACGGGAGAAGCUGUACUGAGGUCAAUGGGCCAGGUCCCGGCUGCUGUGAACGGGAGCAGCUGUACUGAGGUCAAUGGGCCAGGUCCCGGCUGCUGUGAACGGGAGUAGCUGUACUGAGGUCAAUGGGCCAGGUCCCGGCUGCUGUGAACGGGAGAAGCUGUACCGAGGUCAAUGGGCCAGGUCCCGGCUGCUGUGAACAGGAGAAGCUGUACUGAGUCACAGCAGCCGGGACUGGCCCAUUGACCUCAGUACAGCUUCUCCCGUUCACAGCAGCCGGGACUGGCCCAUUAACCUCAGUACAGCUUCUCCCGUUCAAUGGGCCAGGUCCCGGCUGCUGUAAACGGGAGUAGCUGUACUGAGGUCAAUGGGCCAGGUCCCGGCUGCUGUAAGCAGGAGUAGCUGUACUGAAGUCAGUGAAGCGAUGCUGACUUGCAUCAGUGGGGAAUCUGGCCCAUAAAUGCUCUUCUAGCUAGGGAGGGGACCGAGCUGCUGAAGCUGGCCCUGCAUUCUGAACAUGUGGGAGCUGGAGGGUGUUUGGAUAAAGAGCUGCGCUUUGACCCAAAGGGAGCCUGUGUGUGGGUUCAGACUGACACUUCCUGAAAUUCUGAGGUAUGGGGGUCAGAGGCUGGGGUUCAGGCCCUGCUCUAUCUUCUCUACAGGCAGUGACCUCGCUGCACUAUCGCUUGGCACAACACAUUUGCCUUCAGCUUCCUUGGUCCUGGAGAACUGCUGAAUUCCCCUCCCCCCGGAGGGAGAAUGCCCCAUUGACCUCUGGGGAGUUAGUCCUGGUUUGCAGCAGGGUCAGGGAGAGCAGAGUCUGGCCCCGUGUUUCUCCAAGGCAGGAGCAGCGUAAGGAUACCAUUAAGAAGCAGCUGAUGGGAACGCUCAGGCUAGGAACCAUCCUGCUCACUGGUAGGGCCCGAAAGUGGCGCCCAUCUGAUGAGCACCCAGUGCCAAUCAGGCCCUGAUCCAGCACCCACUGGUGUCAUUGGGACUCUUUCCAGUGACAUCAACAGACUUUGGGCCCCUCAGGAUCCCACUCCAGUUCCGAAUGGAGGGGGUCCAUCAGGGCCAGGGCAGCCAGCAUUAACUGAUCCCCUUGUUGGCAGUCUCAGAGAGACCACUGACUGAAUGAGCCAAGAAGACUGAGUUCCCCGGACAUCCGUUCUGGCUGGGACAGUGCAGGGAAGUUUGCUGCUGGGGUAUUCAGCCCCCUGGGGUGUUCAGCCCCCAGGGCUGUCAAGCCAACACUAAACUGAGCCAGGGAAGUCACUUUGCUGCUUUCCCUUAUAUUUCCUGUGUGGUGAGGGGAGCAUCGUCCCUUUGUGCUUUGUAACUAGGGGUGCUGGAUCAGGAUCCUUGCCUCUCCGGAGUCAGUCUGCUCCUGCGCCCUCUCCUUGCAUCACUGUUGCUGGCAGCACUACAAGCACCGGAGGAUGGAAGGCAACAGGAGGUGGAGGAAAAUCUCCUCUGAUCUUUAAUCUCUGCUCCAUCUUGUGCAUUCUACCAUGGCAGUCGAUACCUCUGCAUCAUGCAGGCUGAAAGAGCAGAAUGCCAGGCAAAGCAUGGGAGAUAAAAUAUAGGCCACAAAUUAUCCACUUUGCCGGUAGGCCUGUUGGUCACCUUCACCAAUAUCCAGGUAUCAGAUGCUUGGGGGCAAAACCUAGCUGGGUAUGUAUUUCAACACCUGCCAAGGGGACCCCCCCCCCCAGUUAUCUACCAUAUGGACCCAUUAUGUACAAUAUGGACCGCAGUAGCAACCAUAUGUAUCCUUAUCAUCUCAUGCUGUUCCAUUGCUAUUUCAGUGGAGCAGAGCAGACCAGAUGCUGGAGUCGAGGGUUAGGUUAUUCUGGGUUGUAGGACUUGGCGUUCUCUGCUAGCUCCACCCUCCUAGCUGAGCAGCACCCGUGUGCUAAUUUUCCAGACUGGCACUGGCAGUUACUCAAUUGUUGAUGAUUUUUUAAUUGUUUUAUUUA